CCGGCUAACUCCGUGCCAGCAGCCGCGGUAAUACGGAGGGUGCGAGCGUUAAUCGGAAUUACUGGGCGUAAAGCGCAUGCAGGCGGCCUGUUAAGUCAGAUGUGAAAGCCCGGGGCUUAACCUCGGAAUUGCAUUUGAAACUGGCAGGCUAGAGUCUUGUAGAGGGGGGUAGGAAGUUUCAGGUGUAGCAGUGAAAUGCGUAGAGAUCUGAAGGAAUACCAGUGGCGAAGGCGGCCCCCUCGGACAAAGACUGACGCUCAGAUGCGAAAGCGUGGGGAGCAAACAGGAUUAGAUACCCUGGUAG
rnacentral:rRNA from 1 species